rnacentral:rRNA from 1 species
AUUGAACGCUGGCGGCAGGCCUAACACAUGCAAGUCGAGCGGGGUUUUCGGACCUAGCGGCGGACGGGUGAGUAAUGCGUAGGAAGCUGCCCGAUAGAGGGGGAUACCAGUUGGAAACGACUGUUAAUACCGCAUAAUGUCUACGGACCAAAGUGUGGGACCUUCGGGCCACAUGCUAUCGGAUGCGCCUACGUGGGAUUAGCUAGUUGGUGAGGUAAUGGCUCACCAAGGCGACGAUCUCUAGCUGGUUUGAGAGGAUGAUCAGCCACACUGGAACUGAGACACGGUCCAGACUCCUACGGGAGGCAGCAGUGGGGAAUAUUGGACAAUGGGCGCAAGCCUGAUCCAGCCAUGCCGCGUGUGUGAAGAAGGCCUUUGGGUUGUAAAGCACUUUCAGCGAGGAGGAAGGGUGGUGUGUUAAUAGCACAUCAUUUUGACGGUACCGACAGAAUAAGCACCGGCAAACUCUGUGCCAGCAGCCGCCGUAA